AUGUACUCGUUGGAUAUUUUUGAGCAGUUAUGGGUGGUCGACCGGCUGAUGCGUCUAGGGAUAUCAAGGCACUUCACAAGUGAAAUUGAGCAGUCCCUAGAUUAUAUUUACAGGCGUUGGACUCAAAAGGGACUGGCUCAUAACGCGCACUGCCCUACCCUGGAUAUUGAUGACACGGCCAUGGGUUUCCGUCUCCUCCGUCAACAUGGCUACGACGUCACUCCAUGCGUGUUUAACCACUUUGAGGACAAAAAGGACGGCAAGUUCUUCUGCUUCCCAUUGGAGACCAACGAUGCAUCUGUCACCCCAAUGUACAACACUUACCGUGCUUCACAGUUCAUGUUCCCAGGUGACGAUGAUGUCCUGGCACGGGCUGGGCGCUAUUGUCGUGCAUUUCUCCAUGAAAGACAAGCCUCCAACAAACUGUAUGACAAGUGGAUCAUCACCAAGGACCUGCCAGGCGAGGUCGAGUACGCCCUGAACUUCCCCUGGAAAGCAAGUUUGCCACGAAUAGAAACAAGGAUGUAUCUGGAUCAGUAUGGAGGCAACACGGAUGUUUGGAUUGCUAACGUCCUCUACAGAAUGAAUCUUGUGAGCAACGACCUGUACCUUGAAAUGGCAAAAGCUGACUUCAGAGAAUAUCAAAGACUCUUCCGACUUGAGUGGAAUGGCCUCAGAAAGUGGUAUUUGAGGAACCAUCUGCAGAAGUAUGGUGGAACAUCAAAGAGCGCGCUCACGGCUUACUUCUUAGCUUCAGCAAACAUCUUCGAAUCUGGCCGAGCAGCAGAGCGUCUAGCAUGGGCUCGCACGUGGGUGCUUGCCAAGGCGGUGACCUCUCACUUCAGACAUACUGGGGGCACAAAGGAUUCAACAAAGAAUCUUGAAGAACUUGUCGACAUUGUUUCAUUCCACGACGACUCUUCCGGCAGUCUUCGCGACGCUUGGAAGCAGUGGCUCAUGGCAUGGACUGCAAAGGAGAGCCAUGGAUUAAUUGAAGGAGAUACAGCUGUGUUGUUGGUUCGCACAGUCCAGAUCUGCUCAGGAAGGCAUGUUUCAGCCGAGCAGAAACUGAACCUUUGGGAGUAUUCCCAGCUCGAACAACUCACCUCUUCCAUCUGCCGCAAACUUGCCACAAGAGUUCCCGCUCAGAAUGGGGAAAAUAUGGAGAAUACAGAAAACUUAGACCGGCAAGUGGACAUGGAGAUGCAAGACCUAUCUUGGAGAAUUCAUCAGGGUUGCCAUGGCAUCAACAGACACACCAGGCAGACAUUUCUCCACGUGGUGAAAAGCUUCUACUACUCGGCUCAUUGCUCACUUGAAACAGUUGAUAGUCAUAUAGCAAAGGUCGUCUUCCAGGAUGUCAUUUAG
rnacentral:rRNA from 1 species